UAAUAAAUCUCAUUCCUAAAAUUCACGAACUGUAGGGUUCUCUCCUAAGUUCACAGAUCUGAGCUUUUCUCCUCUAUCUUUCUUUCCAUGGCCUCCUGAUCUUUUCUGCACAACUAGACUUCUCCAUUUUUAGAUCUGGUGCUACCCUAUUUCUCUUCCUUAUUUUCUUAUUUUCCCCUUCUUCUCUUCACCUCUGUCUUUUUCUCUUCCUUAUACAUGGUUCUCAAAUCUUGACGCCGAACGAGAUCGAUAAGUUCUUUGCUCCUAUCUCUCAGUAUUUCUAGGUCAAAAAACUUCCAAUUGGGUCUCGAUUGUUGCCCGUAGAGUCAAAUCUGCAAAAAAUUUAUAGGUUUGCAAAAAUCAGGCAUGCGUUAGUGGAAAUCAGGGGAAACCUCUUCAAAUUCAACCUCGGUACAAGGUGGCUUUUGAGAAAAAUUGCACUGCUCUGAAAAUCGGAUUCACAAUUUCACAAUGACAUACAGUGGCUUAGAAGUUGGAACAAUAACGGAUUCUUUAAACAAAGGAGAGACAAAUUGUUGACUCAAGUACUGGUAUAGGAGAUUUCAGCACUAAAUUGACUAAGAAAAGACUGAAUUUAAAAAAAAACAUGGACUUUUGUUGCAAAAUACAUAUUGUGGUGCCCUAGUAUGAGUUUGAAUUAUUGGGCCACCAAUGUUCAGGUAGAAGAAAGGGAUAUUGAAAUUUAUUUUCUCUUCAUAUGGCUAUUGGGGAUAUAAGGAGUAUAUGAAUUUUAAAGGAUGAGAAUGGUGAAGAUAGAUGUGGAGUCAUCAGAACAAGAAGUGCGCGAUUCCAAUCUUAAACCUUCAGCAGACAGGUACAUGCUAUAGUACAUUAGCUGGUCAGAUGGUAGUCUUGAAGAAAAAAGGUCAAGGAAUUAAAUUUAUGUUUUUUGUUAAUUGUGGUGAUAAUUUUUCUCAUUGAUUAGACUUUUGGUUUCCUCUCUUUAAAGAAUUCCAAAUAACUUUCUAAACAACACAGAUUGGGUAGGAAUUGGUUAAUCUGUUAUUUUAUAUGGCAAGUUUCAGCUUCAAAGAUUUGAUUGGA